rnacentral:tRNA from 1 species
GGGCCUGUAGCUCAGUUGGCAGAGCAUCGGACUUUUAAUCCGCGGGUCGAGGGUUCGAGCCCCUCCGGGCCCACC